rnacentral:lncRNA from 1 species
UAACACCUGCAGUAUGUUACAGCGGAUUUAAGUUGCAUCUAAGAUUGUGCUGUUGAUUUAGUGCUCUCCUAUGUUUGUUUGUUCACCGCUGAAUAAUUUAAGAUGUUGCCAUUAUUUGAGGGGCCUCCUCUAUGUUACAAGUGAUUCGAUCCGAGAAGAACCCGGCUAGGUUCUUCUGAUCGAGGCAGGCCGUAUGAUGCUCAUGCAUGUCUAACUGAUAAGAUAAUUUAUGUUGUGCCAUUUCUCUGAUUACUUUUGUUCAUCGUAAUUUGCAGUGAAAUGGUUUGUUGUAUAUUCCAUCUAACUAUGACCCCGCUGUAUUUUAGGCAUUUAGGUUGCACAAUCAAAUAUUACAACAACUAUGGGCCAGGUGUUCGUAUAACUUUUAGCUUUUAUGUGCAUGUUUAAUUGGUACAGCCUUUGCUAUAUAUUCGGAUAAUUCAGAUACAUGUUUCUUUUAUACAGAUGCAUGUUUUUUUAUAGAGAUCCAUGCUUCUUUGGUAAGUGUAUACUACCAAGGGCGUAUCGCUGUUCCAUGUAUGAUGUAAAAUUUAGUCAUAGGAACUGAAAUUCAUAUGGCCGUAGGGACUGGAAUUGAAGUUUUGUUAGUUCAAUGUGAUUCUUGAUGUUACUUGCAAAACCUGUAACACAUCAUAGGAAUGGGGAAUUUGCAAUGCAAACUCCUGACAUUUUCUUUGGUUAAACUAUAUAAACUUUGCUUUAUUCUCUUUGAGGUUCUAAUUCCUCAGGGCACUUUGGUUAAAGAUGGAUUGAUUAGUUAUGAGCAACUGACCAGCUACCAACGAACUUUUUUGAAACUAGAAAAAUGUAUGUUUUAUAUACCAAACAGCUUUGCGUGUUCAUUCUCUUAUACUAUUAUGUUGGGCUCCGUAUGGUAUCCAGCGACUGUGAAUUGGACUUGUUGUGCUGCAGCCUGCAGCGACAGACACUCGGCACCUGACCAAACCGAAUACCCCCUAUGUGGUCAAUUAACUGGGCCAGCCAAUUAGUCAAUCUGACAGCUGAUAAAAUGCUGAAAUUUCAGAUGGACCGAUUAACUGGCAGAGGAGGGUGUGUAUGUUGUUGUGAUGCUACUGGUUGGCUAUCUGCAUUGCUGCCCUGUCCUCUCCUCUGUGUACACUACUACCGCUGCAAGUGUUGCAUCUUUGAAAAUAAAUUUGGAUGAUAUGGGGUGGCCUAGGGUAAUACCAAGAUAUGUACUCCCUCUGAUCCGUAUUAAUAUAAGAGAAUGGACAAUUAAUAUGGAUCGAAGGGAGUAGCAAACUUUGGGAAAUGAUUGUUUGCCAAAGACAAUUUUGCUGUGCAUCAGAUAUGUUCUGUUGUGGAGUCAUUGACGCUUGCUUGCUUUUGCUCGGAAAAUAUAUGCUGAAAUCAGAAUUUUGGAGUUUGAUUGCAGGGAGAAUUGUAUGACGGAUUUCUUUACCAAAUGGCUCUUUCAGACUUUGCCUUGGAAAACUGGUUACAUUUGCAGAUGUCAUUUUUUGUACAGAGAUUCAAUCUAACUAAUAUCAGAAACAACACUUAGGACCUGUUCGGAGCCCCUCCGCUCCGUGAGGCUGCUCCCGGAGCUGACGGAGUUCUAGUUAAAAAAUGCAGAGCCAGCGAAACGGUACUCCCCAUAUUCUCAAUUUGCACGGAGCGGGCAGGCUGCCGAACAGCGCCUUAAAGGACAAGGAUAUCUGACUAUUUGUUCUAGUGGUCCAUAUGCCUGAACCAAAGGAUUGUAUCAAUCUGACGAUUUGUUCUUGAAGUUUGAUAAAAACUGAAGAAGUAAAAGAGCCCUAACAAUUGAAAAUCCAUUUCUGCACCCGAGCUCAUCUGCACCCGUGCUGACGAAAAAAAUAAAAACAAAUACUAGAAAAGUUCAAAAAAUUCCAAAUAAAAUUUGUGUGGUAGACAAUUUGAUGCGUGAGGCUCGCUUCAAAUUUCAAGUCGUUUGGACAUACGAGCAGCUCUUAGCAAAAAAGACAAAUUGGGGUCUGUAAAAAUGUUUACUGUUUAUGUAUUGUUUUGGCCCGAUUUGUCUUUUUUGCUGAGAGCUGCUCAUAUGCCCAAAUGACUUGAAAUUUGGGGCGGGCCUCACGCAUCAAAUUUUCUAUCACACAAAUUUUAUUUGGAAUUUUUUGAAUUUGUUUUGAAUUUUUUAUGAAUUGUUUUUUAACCGGGUGCAGAUGAGCCUGGACAAACUUUUCAUACUAGCGGUGAAGACAGAAUGGCCAAAUUAGCAUUUCAUUUUGAGUUGCAGCUACUACUGAUGAAUCAUACAAAAAAGCUUUGAACCCUUUCAACAUCUCAGGGGAGAGAAAAAUAAUGUGAAUGGUCUCUAAUCAUCAGAGCACAAGUAGAGAAACAGUGAUUUGCACUAUGCAAACAAGACUUCUGUUCUCUCUCGUUUCCUCCGAAUCAGCUCAGCACGAAGCUUGUGACCUUGCAAUUAGGAAAGCAGAAAUUUGUCACGGAUCAAAAACAACGUUUUAGGCACCGAGCAUAUCAAUCAUCAAAACUCUUCGUAUGCACUCCCCUUGCCACUCUGGGUGGUCUGAUGUUAGAACAACAAUCCGGCUUGGUGCAAUCCUUUGGAAGUAAGUAUCAGGUGUGAACCACGUUACGGUGAAGAUUAUGUUGAAACCAUGUUUAGAAGUUCUAUAAAAUUGUACCCAAAAAAAACAUACAGGUUGAUGUUCCAGAAGUAUGCAAAAUUUCAAGGUUCAGCACAUAAUCAUUUUGUAGAUAUGUGAAUAAAAUAAAUUCAUCAAUAAGGUUGUUGAAAUUGAUUUUUCUUGAUUUUCACAGGUUUCCACUCCAAGAUAGUCUGGGAUGACUCCUAGGAUUCCAGUAACAGUGUGCAGGCUGGACUCAGCACACAAAGAAAAAGCCUACAAUACAUAAUAGUGUGUAAUGACGCAAUCACGAUGACAAUAAGCUUCGACAACAGAACAACCACAAGACAACAGAACAACCACAACGACGAGUGCAUCAUCGAACAAAUUCUUUCAAAUUUUUGGAGUCGUCAAAACAACAGGAUUGCAGGGAGAAUUGGGUUGAAGAGCACAUGGAGAAUUCCUAAUUCUAGCACAUGGAGUAUAAAGCAGGAAGUCAGAAUAACCGUAUGCGAUUUCCCUUUUUGAGUUGCAGCUGCUAUGAAUGGAUCAUACAAGUAAGCUUUGAAUCGUUACAAAGAGUACAUCUCGGGGCGGAGAAAAAAUGUUGGAAAUUCUCUGAUCAUCGGAGCACAAGCAGUGUUCUGUCUAUGCAAAUAACACCAUGAAGCCUGCGGCCCUAGAAGCACAUCGUUUCCUCCGAAUCAAUUCACCAGGAAGCCUGCGACCCUGGAAUUAGAGAAGCGUUAUUUCGUCAUGGAUCAGAACAAAUUUGAAGCGUAAAAUGUUUCAGCCAUACCAAAUCUGCUGGUGUGGGGAUUAGUCAUGAAUUUUCAGAAGAUCUGAUCCACACAGAGUAAACAAGAGGUAAAUUCAACUCACCGAAAACUCAGAUCGGUUGUGUCCUAGGCGCACAGGAUGAGCUUGCCGGUGGGUAAGGCUACGGCGGCGACGGCGAGGAGGCAUGCGGUGACGACGUUCCGGUAGCACCACCGGAGCGGGCCCCACGCCCCCGCGCCCUCGACGCUGGCGCAGUUGGUCCUCGUCACCCCGCACUGCGGCUCCUUGGACAGGUCGAACGAGGCGCCCUUCAUGCGCAGCUCCUGCACGCACCGCGCGAGGGCCCGGGCGUCGCCGCGCUCCCGCCGCAGCCGCCGCGCGGCGCGCCAGUAGGCGCAGACGCGGAGCUGCACGGCCGCCGCGAGCGCGAGGGAGGCGGCCAGCGACAGGGACGACGGCGCCCACCACCUCCCGCAGGCGCGCGACGGGGGGCCGCCCGCGACGGAGGCGGCGAAGAGGAGCGCGAGGGAGAGGCCGUGGAGGGCGAGGAAGGCCGCGCAGAGGUAGAAGGCGUCCCGCCGCGCCGCGUCCAUGACCGCCUCGAGCGCGCACGCGCGGCGGUUGAGGCGGGACUCCUCCCGCUGCCACAGCUUGAGCAGCAGCAGGUGGCCCCCGCUGUCGGCGAUCUCGCCCAGCGGGUGGUGCCCCGACGCCGCCUUGCCGAGGAACGCGCCGCUGGCUGGCUCCGCUCCGUCGCCGGUGACCGGGAUCUCCACGACGUGGGCGUCGUUUUUGGUGGGCUCCGCCGCCAUUGGAAGUUGCGUUCUGAAUUGGAAGGUUUUGAGUUGAUAUGAGAUCGGACUCGGAAGGCAGAAAUGGAAAUGAGGGAGUAGAAGCGUGAUGAUCCGGUGUUGGGUAGUCGCGCUCGCGCGGCUUAAGGAAGGAAGGGAAGGGGUCGUGUGCGCCCAACGGUCGAGUACUUUAGUGAGGCACGCAACGGUCGAAUUUUCGCUGGGCCUCACGGCGGUGGCCCUUUCACAUGUUCAUCUAAUUAUCUUAUCAUCAAUAAUUUCUCAAAAAAAAAUCUAAUCAUCAAUGAUUACUCAAAAUAUCCCUAACAGAUCGUUUGGCACCCGGGCUUUCAUUUCAUUUGAUAGAAAUGAAAUGAAAUCUCAUUCCAAGGAGGAUUUCAUUUUGUGGGAUUUGGAUUCCAAGUUCAAUUUUCUUAUUUGGCUGCCAUAGGGGAUUUGUGAAAUAAAUGCCAUAUGCUGUUUGGCUGCUAUGUGCAUAUCUCAAUAUCUACAAUCAACACAUUUACAAUCUAAAAAUGAUAAUCAGCCCCCCAAAAAACUGCAUUUUUUCAGCAUCAUCUUCACGCAUUCAAACAUUCAAAUAUGUCAAAUAUAAUAAUCUAAAAUGCAGACAAUAAUAGUGACAAGAUCUUUGAAGGGCCAUUAAAGGCUGAAACUUGUGCUCGUCGGAAAGAAAGUUCUUCGAAUGUUCAUAGCUUAUUAAGCACGAUAUGGAAGAUAAAAGACUACGACUCGCAUUACAAAUGCAUUAGGACGAUAAAAAAUAAAUAUUCGCAUCCAACAAAGGGGCUUGAACUUGCAUGAAGAUCUUGGUUUGGCCUUCUGGCUUCAUGUGAACUUGCAUGAAGAUCUUGGUUUGCCCUGCAGAUAUCAUGUGAAGCAUGUAAGCAAAAUUACUACAGUAGUUAGCAAAUGUUUAAUUUCUAAACACCAUCUUAAUUUAUUAAUUGGCACAAUUAAAAAGUCAGAUAUUUUCUUCUUUACAAUAAGCUAAAACACUAUAAUGGGACAAAUGCAAAAGGGAGAAAAAUAUCCACUCUCACUGAUGUAAUUGAGACACUUCGAUUCCCAGGCUAAGAAACUAUUCCCUCCGUUCGGAAUUACUUGUCUCGAAAAUGGAUGUAUCUAGAACUAAAAUACGUCUAGAUACAUCCAUUUCUGCGACAAAUAAUUCCGAACAGAGGGAGUAGUAGCAAACAACCUUUUCUAGUUAUCUAGGCGAAGUAUCAAGUGAAAACCUUAUUUGGGUGAAAAUCUGGAAACUUGGACCCCGUUGGAUCUGUAGCAAACGACAUCUACUCAAGGGCGGAGAACCCGCCAGCAACUUAAACACACAUUAGCACAAAACCCUCUCCUUCCUAGUAAUGUUUUCAGGUUUUCAAGCAUUGGCUUAUCCCCUCCCGUUCCUAAUAGACUGUUUGUAAAGAUCUGAAUAAUGAUUGAAACACCAUUGCAACUAGCUACAUGAGUAUACUUUCUAGUAAUAAGUAUAGAAGAAGUAAGGGCAGAAAAUGCAGUAAGCAUACAUUGGUGCGCGUCGGUCCUAAACAAACGGUUUUUAACCCCUUUCCGCGACGGCAUAUGGAACCGUCUCCAAGUGAGUGUGGGCGAUAGGGGGGUCCUUCCCACAAGACCCAGAAAUCGUCAGGGAUAGGGAGCCUUGAUGCAUACAGUUGUCCCUGAAUAGCCGUUUCCGAUAUCUCGAAUAUCCCAAACGCUUCAUCCUUGCCACUCGUUCAUUGCCAUCACAGUCGGAGUUUUGUGGUUCUACCUAAAACCAGGCAGAUUCCAGGCACGACAGGUUUCUAGGAAGAUUCUAGGCACAGGAGAUUUACGAUGCCUGGCACAUCACAAAUAGUUCAUGAUUAUAAACCGUGUACGAUAGGUAGACAAUCACACACAUUUACUUUUCCCGCACCGUAUGUGAUAGUGUCUGACAUCACACACGCUUUGCAAAAGGCAACUGUGUGCAUGCUUGCACACGUUUCCUCUCUGUGAACCGUCUCGGAUUAUGGUGUAUAUCACAAAAGUUUGUGUUUUACCAACCGUGUGUGCCGUAAUGACCUGCACAACGUAAUUUCGCCCUAAUUUAAUUGCUGCUAUUUAAAAUUGUACCUAAUUUAAACUUGAAAGUAGGCUAUAGCUUUAUUCAUAUCCAUCAGGUUCAAACAACCAAUGCAUUAUUCGAUUCACAGGUACACAUGUUUAAGAAUUACAGAAGCACCAAAUAAGGAAUGAUUCACAGGUACAUAUGUUCUAUAUUGUACUAUUACAGAUGGUAAAGAAAGAGGCGACAGACAUUCCAGUUGCUGAACAAGGUGAAGCAGAAUGGCCCUAUUGUGCUCUCCUGGAUGCAGAAGGCAUGCAGGACUCUAGUCCAACCCCUUGUGAUGGCCGGCCGCCAAUCAUGUAGUUUGAGAGGUAAUCUUGAGUAAACUGCUUCAGGAUCCACUGCAAAAGAAAAAGAUUCAGACAUUGUCAUCUAACACAACUCAUUACGGGCAAUAAAAAGAAGGCUACAGGGUUCUUACUUACCAUCCUGCAGUUCACUGUUGUCUUGUAUAAAGUGUAAACAAAUAGUUCGAUUGACAUCUUUUGACCCAUUUUAGUAACAAUCUUUACCAGUUUCCUCACUUGAUGCUAGUUCAUGAACAUCUCAUUGCCCCAUACGCAGAAAGGGUCGAAGAGUGGAUCUUGGGCAAUGAUAUAUGUACCUAAAAGCAUCAAAUUAAUAUUAGAAGCUAAACAACAAUUGAAAAAUGAUGUAGUACAACACUCCAUCCAUCCCAGUAUAUAAGAUUUUAUUACAUGUAUAUCUAGACAUCAUCAGAACAUUAAGGCAACACUCUUCCUUGUUGCUAUGUAGCCUGAGAUUGCAUAUUUAGUCAUUCAGUACAAUGCAUGUUGCUAAACAACAAUUAAAAAACUAAAAGGCAUGUUAACUGCAAUAUCCUUAACAGCAACCAAAUAUCGUAAUUCAUAGUGGUAUUGUUGAAACUGUUAUUGAUGAAAUUGAACUGCACGGCAAAUAGUUGCACAUAUAGAGCAUCACAUUGUGAAGAACUGAAAUAAACAAGUCAUAAGGACAUCUCUAGGCGAUCCUUAAAAAGUUAAAGGACUAAAACCCUUAGUGGAUAUAUAUAUACUCCAGCAAUUUUUGGCCUUUUCUAGUCGAUCCCCUAAACUUAAGGUUGUAAACUUCAAUUUGAUCAAGUUUAGAGCAGGUUCAACCGAAAGUAGCAUGCAUUCAAACAUAAACAUAGAUAGUUUUGCAUAACCGAACAUAAAACAUAAAUUUAAACUAAGCUAAACUACUUUCGAUCGAAGUAGAGGUCGAGCCAAUCCUUCCUCGUCAUGUACGGUGUGCCGCGAGCCGGGUCCAGGCCAGUACCGUCAUCGGGGUCGUUGGGGAAGGCACUCCUCCACUCGUCGACGUCGAUCUCCUCGUCCUCGGGGCCCACCUCGACGCCCUUCGCGUCGCCGUCGCUGCCGCCUUUGACCUCGUCAUUAGAGGAGAGCGCGAUAACCUCGCCGCCCACCGCGCCACCGUCCUCGCCGCCUCCGACCUCGUCAUCGGAGGAGAGCGCGAUAACCUCGCUGCCCUCCGCGCCGGAAAAGAUCACCCGCUCCGCCUCCACGAGCUCCGGGUGCUGCCGGCGGAGCUCUUGCAUGUAGGCCUCGUCGGCGGCCUCGGCCUCGAGAUGCUCCCAACCUCGCGGUCAUCCCGCGCCAUAGCCGAGCUCACCACCCCUGGCUCCGGCGGAACGAGGUGGACCGGACGUGUGCCGAAGGGGAAAUUGAGCCUAGCCGCCGCGCCGUGGUAGCGGACCUACCAGCGGUCGUACUCCAUGGCCACGAGCUCGGCCGUGUGGAAGCUACCGAGCCACCGGCGGGUGUGGGUCUCUAGAUCUGUAAUCUCGGCGACCCACGUCCCCCACCGCCGCUCCCGGACCCCGAGGUAGGACUUCUUCAGCUGCCGGGUCCGGGGAGGACGGGGAAUUCCUCGAACCGGCGUUGGGGCACGGCGGCGGGCGGAUAGGGGGACCGGCGACGGCGGAUCGGGCCCGCGGAGGAUGACAAGGACACCUCGGCGGCCACCUCGCCGGCGUCAGGCGAAAAGGCCGCGAUAAACCUCUUUUUGGCCAUUGGCUACUCGAGCUCCCCGGCACACAUGCAUAGGUUGAGGAUGGAGGCACCGGCGAUGGCAGCGACCUACAAAUGGUUUCGAGGGUUGUGUGUGUCUGUGUGAGCAGAGGUUGUGUUUGAGGAAAUACUGCGGGAACUGAAAAUUUUACUAGGCGGGAGUAACAAGGCGGGGCUACUGAAAAUUUGGAUCAAGGGCGAGCAAAUAUUUUUGAGAUUGCGAGGGAUGCAGAUGCGGGAGUAAAAUGCCGGGGCUACUGAAAAUUUGAAUCAAGGGACUGAAGUAGAGCGGGAGUAACAGACAUUGCACACGGUCCGCACAUACUAAUCAUGUGCUAUCAAACAUUAAAACCUUCCAGGUGGUAGAUAUUUUCGAGAUUGCGAGGGAUGCAGAGGCGGGAGUUUUGGGGGAGCGAGCUAGUGUGCUUGACACGCCGGCUGUGGACUGUAGCUGACGCACCUUCUCGCGUAAGCCAUAGGCGUACUAUACACCGACGGUUGGUGAGCAUAAACUAUGUUGGAUCUACUUGAUUUGAACUACAAAAUGGGGUCACAGCGGCAAUGGAUGGUGUUUGAAUUGCUAGACCUUUUAUCUGCAGUCAACAUGCAACUGUAUGCGUGUCGUAAAAGAAUUGGAAUUAUUCAGGGUUCGUUUGGACAUUUCAUACAUUAAACUGGUUUUCUAGCCAUUUCAGGUGCACAAUUUAAAAUUAAACUACAUGCACAUGCUCCGGUGCAUACAAAUUGGUUGAAAAAUCAAAUCUGUGUCCUUCAGUGCAUGCUUAGGUCCCAUGGAAUAAAUGGGAAUGAAUUUUUCGGGGUUCGUUUGGCCUUUUUUAGACAUUAAUUGUGUUUUCUAGGCAUUUUAUGUGCAUAAUUCAAAUUUGAACUACAAGCACAUGCUCCAAUGCACCAAAGUUGGUUGAAAAAUCACAUGUGUGUCCUUGGGUGAAUUUCUAGGUCCCAUGCAAGAGAUGGGAAUGAAAUUCAAACACCAUGGCACUGUUGAUUGCCGGCAAAACCUUGAGAUGCCUGGUUUUUAAAUUCUAGUAAAUCCAAAACUCGUCUGAAAUUCAUGAAACUUGGCAUGCUAUCAUGGAACGGCAUCAAUAUGCCGUGGUGAAAAUUUUAUCCCAUUUGGGGCAGGUUCGGGUAUAAGCUUCUCACAACAAGCAUGAUGGUUUCGAUAGGGAACGUACCAGCUUUGGUGACAGGACGAUAUCCGUUGCCUCUUAUUGCUUUCAAAAAUUUUCUAGUGUCAACAUAGAACAAAAGGAGUGUUGUGUUCUCUUGGAAUUUUUGGGAUUCGUUUGGCCUUUUUUAUAUAUUAACUGGGUUUUCUAGGCAUUUUAUGUGCAUAAUUCAAAUUUGAACUACAAGCACAUGCUCCAAUGCACCAAAGUUAGUUGAAAAAUCACAUGUGUGUCCUUGAGUGAAUUUCUAGGUCCCAUGCAAGAGAUGGAAUGAAAUUCAAACACCAGGGCAUUGUUGAUUGCCGACAAAACGUUGAGAUGCCUCGUUUUUAAAUUCUAGUAAAUCCAAAACUCGUAUGAAAUUCAUGAAACUUGGCAUGCUAUCAUGGAGCGGCAUCAACAUGCCGUGGUGAAAAUUUUGUCCCAUUUGGGGCAGGUUUGGGUAUAAGCUUCUCACAAACCAGAGCUUCUCACAACAAGCAUGAUGGUUUCGAUAGGGAAUGCACCACCUUUGGGGACGGGACGAUAUCCGUUGCCUCUUAUUGCUUUCAAAAAAUUUCUAGUGUCAACAUAGAACAACAGGAGUGUUGUGUUCAAUCUUGGUAUUUUUGGGGGUUCGUUUGGCCUUUUUUAUGCAUUAACUGGGUUUUCUAGGCAUUUUGCAUAAUUCAAAUUUGAACUACAAGCACAUGCUCCAAUGCACUAAGGUUGGUUGAAAAAUCACAUGUGUGUCCUUGGGUGAAUUUCUAGGUCCCAUGCAAGAGAAGGGAAUGAAAUUCAAACACCAGGGCACUUUUGAUUGCCGGCAAAAAGUUGAGAUGCCUGGUUUUUAAAUUCUAGUAAAUCCAAAACUCGUAUGAAAUUCAUGAAACUUGGCAUGCUAUCAUGGAGCGACAUCAACAUGCCGUGUUAAAAAAUUUGUACCAUUUGGGGCAGGUUCGGGUAUAUGCUUCUCACAAACCAUAGCUUCUCACAACAAGCAUGAUGGUUUCGGUAGGGAACGUCCCACCUUUGGGAACGAAACGAUAUCCAUUGCCUCUUAUUUCUUUCAAAAAAUUUCUCGUGUCAACAUAGAAUAACAGGAGUGUUGUGUCAAUUUUUGGGAUUUUUCGGGGUUCGUUUGGACAUUUCUAUGCAUUAACUGAGUUUUCAAUGCAUUUAUGUGCAUAAUUCAAAUUUGAACUACAUGCACAUGCUCCAAUGCACUAAGGUUGGUUGAAAAAUCUAAUCUGUGUCCUUGUGAAUUUCUAGGUCCAUGCAAGAGAUGGGAAUGAAAUUCAAACACCAGGGCAUUGUUGAUUGCCGGCAAAAUGUUGAGAUGCCUGGUUUUUAAAUUCUAGUAAAUUCAAAACUCGUCUGAAAUUCAUGAGACUUGGCAUGCUAUCAUGGAGCGGCAUCAACAUGCCGUGUUAAAAAAUUUGUCCCAUUUGGGGCAGGUUCGGUAUAUGCUUCUCACAAACCAGAGCUUCUCACAACAAGCAUGAUGGUUUCGGUAGGGAACGUCCCACCUUUGGGGACGAAACGAUAUCCAUUGCCUCUUAUUGCUUUCAAAAAUUUUCUCGUGUCAACAUAGAACAAUAGGAGUGUUGUGUCAAUUUUUGGGAUUUCCGGGGGUUCGUUUGGACAUUUUAUGCAUUAACUGAGUUUUCAAUGCAUUUAUGUGCAGAAUUCAAAUUUGAACUACAUGCACAUGCUCUAGUGCAUAUAAAUUUGUUGAAAAACCAAAUCUGUGUCCUUUGGUGCAUGCUUAGGUCCCAUGCAAGAAAUGGGAAUGAAUUUCAAACACCAGGGCACCGUUGAUUGCCGGCAAAACAUUGAGAUGCCCCGCUUUUAAAUUCUAGUAAAUCCAAAAAUCGUCUGAAAUUCAUGAAACUUGGCAUGCUUUCAUGGAGCGGCAUCAACAUGCCGUGGUAAAUUUUUUGUCCCGUUGGGGCAGGUUUGGGUAUAUGCUUCUCACAAACCAGAGCUUCUCACAACAAGCAUCAUGGUUUGGGUAGGGAACGUCCCACCUUUGGGGACGAAACGAUAUCCAAUGCCUCUUAUUGCUUCCAAAAUUUUUCUCGUGUCAACAACAGGAGUGUUGUGUCAAUUUUUGUGAUUUUUUGGGGUUCUUUUGGACAUUUUUAUGCAUUAACUGAGUUUUCAAUGCAUUUAUGUGCAUAAGUCAAAUUUGAACUACAUGCACAUGCUCUAGUGCAUAUAAAUUGGUUGAAAAAUCAAAUCUGUGUCCUUGGGUGCAUGCUUAGGUCCCAUGCAAGAAAUGUGAAUGAAUUUCAAACACCAAGGCAUCGUUGAUUGCCGACAAAACAUUGAGAUGCCUGGUUUUUAAAUUCUAGUAAAUCCAAAACUCGUCUGAAUUUCAUGAAACUUGGCAUGGUAUAAUGGAAUGGACCCGACAUGAUGUGGUAUUUUUCAUGUCCAUUUUGAGAGAAGGCGCACUCGAAUAAUGACAGCCAACAAAGGCAUUUUGAAAAAUUAGCUGCCACUUUAAUAUCUCAAACGUUUGUAUAAUUCAAAUCAUGUGCGUUCUGUUAACGAUUCACGUGACGCCACGUGUCUUGGUUUUAAUGGCUGUAGGAGGUGUCGUGCGGACAGCUGCUUGACCUUGACUGAACGGGAGGCGUGCGAGCGCAGUCCGGUGCGCAGGCUGACCGAGAGGCGUGCAAGCUGUCCUCCAAUGCGCAUGCUCACCGGGAAGCGUGCGUGUUGUAUGCUGCGAAGGCUCACUGGGAAGCGAGCCAUUUGACUUCGAUGGCUGCCCGCCUUCCUCUCCAUUAAUGGCGCUCGAACCGCUGUUUAAUACGGGCGGCCUUACCAUUUGCCUCCCAUUCCCCUCCCCCCGCAGACCUCCACCGCCAUGGCGCAGAAUGAUCAUCUGCCACUAGUCUUCAAGUUUGGUGAAGUCGACUCCGAGCCGGAGGAGAUAGAAAAUAAGGAGGAAUGGGGCCUCAUGGACAUGGCCCAGAACGAGCUGGCCGCGACGGCUCCUUCCCCCGCUCCCAUCCCAGCUCCCAUCCCCGCGCCCGCGCCAGCGACCAUCCCCGUAGCAUUGACGGGCUGGUCGCCGAGCACUAUCGCAGAGCUGGAAGCCGCGGGCAUCAGCGAGGUCUCCGCAGACCCGCGCGAGCUCGUGUACAUGCCAGCGCCAGCGCAUGUGCCCGUGCCCGUGAGCGCCCCUCCACCCACCGUGGCGCCGGCCCCCGUGCGUUUGGCUGCACCCGCCUCACCAGUGCGCGCCCCUCCACCCACUGCGGCGCCGGUCCCCGUGCGUUUGGCUGCACCCGCUGUGCCCGUGCGCCCCCCCUCAGCGGCGUGGGACGCUGCCGUCGACCGCUACCUCUCAGCGGUGCCAGUUGCCGUCCUCCCGCGCCUCGCCCGUCGAUCGCGCGACGACAUGAUGUUUGAUUUUCAAGUGAAGAACAUUUUGUUCUUCCUUGAAGACUUCAACAAUGGCGUCCCGGAGGACGACAACGAGAACGACGGUGCGGCACGCCGCCUCCGCCGCCGCUGGAAAUAUUUUUUUGGGGUUUAAUACUGUAUCUUGAAUUCUCGAUCAUAUGAAUAUAAAUUCGCAGUGUGACUGAAUGAAAGAUAUGGUUUGAACGAACUUGCGUUUUUCUCUCUUAAUGUAUAGACUUAUCAAAUGAAUUUCUUAAAAAAACGUCAACGGUUUUUAAAUAUAAAACACUCAUCGCAAACGUUUUAGUUAGAACACCCGUAUGCAAACCGACAGCUUCCCCAGGAAGCCAUGGGAAAAUGUGCCGAGCAGGAUUUCUGCAUCCCUUCAACGCAAACAGUUAUUUUGGAUGACCCGUGUGCAACCACGUACAAACAAUUGGGUAAGAUUUGCAUGUCUGUCAUUUUGGGUAUGUUGCCAUUUCUCAAACUGGAAAGAUUGACAUUUUUUUAUCUACUAACAUUGCCAUUUGUCAACCUUGUAGCACUGCGAUUUGUCAAAAUAUGCAGCUACAAAUCACUAGCACUAUCUAAUUUUUGCAACUAAAAUCACUAGCACUGUUCAUAUGGACACCACUAGCAUGCGUGAGUUCAUGGACGCAUAUGCAAAUGUACCAUUGAUUACAUACAACAAGUCAUCAACCCACAACGACAACAAGGAUACACGUUGGAUUAUAGAUCAUUUCCAACAAAACAUUCUAGUAAAGUUUUUCUCACACAACAAAUAACAAAGCGAUGAAAUGAACUUUAGCUCAAUGACUCAUCGGCGUUGGAAACGCUUGCUUUGAACCAGAAGUGAUUCUCUGUGAAGGGCCAGCUACUGUCAAUCUCGAGACCAAUGCAGGACUGAUCAUCGAGGCUGAAGCAGCCUAUGUCAGGACCCAUAUUGGGACGGUAGGGAAGCAUAGUAAUGUCCGAGGUAUAAGUACAGUUGCUUCUCAUAAAUGGUAGUAACAUUGUGUCAACAACAGCUGGAUCGCCUUCCACCAUCAUUGGAUAGUUUUGUCCAAGGAAGAGCGAGUUUCCUCCAAGACUUUCAAUACUGAACAAGGGAGAAGGUGUUGGCGCUAGUACACUAGUAUCCAUCCUGAAUACCCUGCAACAGAUGUUGGAAUAGGUCCGGAGAGUGCGACCAUACGAGACAACACCUGCUUCCUUAGUAACAUCAGUAGUGCCCCAUAUACAGACAAGAAGAGGUGAUCCAUCAGAAUAAGUUGCCAGGCGCCACUGAGUAUAUGGGUCCUACUCGUCCUCAUGCUCGUGAAUAAAAUUUUCAAGUAUAGGUGGUGGAAUGUUCACAGGAUCUUGGAAACACAAGAAGGUUAAUUAGUAAAGGGAAACUAGCUAACCCGCAUGCAUGUGGAUGAAACAAUUAUAAUUACGGUGGAAGACAAACGUACCGAAAGCAUGAUGAUUCCAUGCAAAAACAGUUCCACAAGUGGUGGCAGCAAACACAAGACCCUCGUAUUGAAUUGCAUCACAGUACUCAUCCGUGUACAUAAAUUGAUUUUUGAGCAAUAUGCAUCGAGGCGUGUGUAACGCCCACGAUGCGGCUAUAUCUCCCACGUGUCGAGGCACGACUUAGAGGCAUAACCGCAUUGUGGUUUUGUCGCAAUAAGGGUCAUCUUCACACAAUCCCAUGUAAUGAACAAGAAUGGGAUAACGAGAGUUGGCUUACAAUCGCCACUUCACACAACACAUAAAUAUAAUUCAUACAUCAUCCAAAAUCCACACAUAGACCGACUACGGUCAAAAUCCAAAUGAAAAUAUGAUAACCCCAAAUGCUAGAUCCCCGAUCGUCCCAACUGGGCUCCACUACUGAUCAUUAGGAAAAGAAACAUAGUAACGACCACGUUCCUCAUCGAACUCCCACUUGAGCUCGGUUGCGUCAUCUGCACUGGCAUCGUCGGCACCUGCAACUGUUUUGGUAGAAUCUGUGAGUCACGAGGACUCAGCAAUCUCACACCCACGAGAUCAAAACUAUUUAAGCUUAUAGGAAAGGAUGGUGUAAUGAGGUGGAGCUGCAGCAAGCACUAAGCAUAUAUGGUGGCUAACAUACGCAAGUGAGAGCGAGAAGAGAAGCAACGCAACGGCCGCGAAGCUAGAAAUGAUCAAGAAGUGAUCCUGAAACUACUUACGUUCAUGCAUAACUCAAACCGUGUUCACUUCCCGGACUCCGCCGAGAAGAGACCAUCACGGCUACACACACGGUUGAUGUAUUUUAAUUAAGUCAAGUGACAAGUUUUCUACAACCGGACAUUAACAAAUUCCCAUCUGCCUCAUAACCGCGGGAACGGCUUUCGAAAGAUAAUACCCUGCAGGGGUGUCCCAACUUAGCCCAUUAUAAGCUCUCACGGUCAACGAAGGAUAAACCGUCUCCCGGAAAGACCCGAUCAGUCUAGGAAUCCCGGUUUACAAGACAUCUCGACAAUGGUAAAACAAGACUAGCAAAGCCGCCCGAUGUGCCGACAAAUCCCGAUAGGAGCUGCACAUAUCUCGUUCUCAGGGCAACACCAGAUGAGACUAGCUACGAGUAAAACCAGUCCUCAAGUUUCCCCAAGGUGGCCCCGCAGGCAGCUCGGUUCGAACCAACACUCGAAGGAGCACUGGCCCGUGGGGGUCUAAAAUAAAGAUGACCCUCGGGCUCGCGAAAACCCAAGGGAAGUGUAGGUGGUAGGUGGUCAAAUGGUAAAACCAAGGUUGGGCCUUGCUGGAGGAGUUUUAUUCAAAGCGAACUGUCAAGGGGGUCCCAUAAAUCACCCAACCGCGUAAGGAACGCAAACUCAAGGAACAUAAUACCGGUAUGACGGAAACUAGGGCGGUAAGAGUGGAACAAAACACCAGGCAUAAGGCCGAGCCUUCCACCCUUUACCAAAUAUAUAUAUGCAUUAAUUAAAUAAGAUAUAUUGUGAUAUUCCAAAAUAUCCAUGUUCCAACAUGGAACCAACUUCAACUUCACCUGCAACUAGCAACGCUAUAAGAAGGGCUGAGCAAAAGCGGUAACUUAGCCAAACAACGGUUUGCUAGGAAAGGAUGGUUAGAGGCUUGACAUGGCAAUAUGGAAGGCAUGAUAUAGCAAGUGGUAGGUAGCACAGCAUAGCAAUAGAACGAAGAACUAGCAAAGCAAAGAUAGAAGUGAUUUCGAGGGUAUGGUCAUCUUGCCUGCAAGGUUCUCAGAGUUGUCGAAAGCUUGAUCCUCGUAAGCGUACUCAACAGGUUCCUUGUUCACGAACUCAUCUCCCGGCUCUACCCAGAGCAAGAACCAAAGCAAUGAAACCACAAUCAAUCACGGGAAAUGCACAAGCAACAUGAUGCAAAACAUGUAUGAUAUGCGAGAUGUGGUAUGCGAUGCAUAUGCGUGCUCCGGAAGAAAAAUGAUGAACAAGGCAGUAACUUGGCAAACCAAGUAUGCCACUGGAAAGAUGAGAUGAUUUCGGUCGAAAUCGAUAUAAAGAUCACCGGAAACGGAUGCACGGUUUGCAAAUGGCAAGCAAAACAAGAAUGACACGAAUCUGCGAUUAACAGCAUGAUAGCACUUAGAAUGCAACAAGUAACUAUGCUACAGCACUCCAAGAUAGCAACAAAACAUAUGGCAGUAAUCUACAGGAGAUGCUUGAAAAAAGAUGAACACCGAGCUAUGGCUAGAUCACACCACAGAAUGUUCAAACAAGCAUGGCAAAAGUGCAAAAGAUAUCAGGUUCACAGACUCGGUAAAAUUACUGGACAUGGCAGAAACAACAUCAGGUAGCAAUGUUCAGAGCAAGCAAUCGACAUGCUACAGGAACUUAACAUAGCAAAACAAGGCAUGGCAUGAAUCUACUAAAUGCAUAUGACAAAAGUCCUUUACUGACCAUGAGCCAAAAAGGAUCAGAAGAUAUGAUGGCAACCAUGUAACAUAGCAAGUUUCGUUAACAGGUUUCAGACUUGGCAGAAAACAGAGCAUGGCAAAAACAGACAUUAUGAGGGCAUCUUGGUGAGCUUGAUUCACUCAUCACAAGGCAAUGGAUGACAAAAAAAGCAUGCCUACAGCAAGAUGGCAUGUUUAUGAAGCUAUCCAUGGCAAGAGAAAAUACAUACCAUGUAUGAAACAACUACAACAACCUUGGUAAAAUUGAGUAACACGUAAACAAUCUGCCAGAAAUAUUUUAUAGCAAAAGUAGAGCAAGAUUAAGACAUGCUACGGCACUCCAUAAUUUCAAACAGGGGCAUGACUGGAUAUAGCACAACUAUAUCUACAAAACAUCUUUACUGAACAUCAGCAAAAGAAGCAUUGAUCUCUCUGUAGCCACAAAGAUACAUAGCAACAAAAUAACAGCAGUCACAGACGGUAAAAUUACUAAGUCCCUGAAAUCAGAAACAUCACGAAGCCUAGUUUGCAUGCUUGUGCUAGUCACCACAGAGAUCACAAAAAUACAUGGCAUACACCUCUGUAAAGAUGGCAUGGCAUACAUCAAAACACAUGUAGAGCUCAUGCCCAUAAGAUGCACGCAUCAAAUGCAACAAAAAUAACAAAUCCUCAUGUUCUGAUAAGUAACAGCAGUUAACAGCAUAUAGCACUCUUGCACCAGAGAUUUGGGCAUCAACAUGGACUCAAAUGAACAUGGCAUAAUGGAACAAAAUGAAGAGAAACUCGAGAUGAACAUUUCGACAUAUUACACGCAUGAAACGGAGCUAUAUGCAGAGAGUUAUGAUGCAAUGAACAGAGGCAUAUAAUGUAAAAAUAUGAGACUUAGAAGAAUUCGGGGGAGAGGAGAAGUCAACCCACUGUCCAGAUCUGGAUUGGGCGCUCGGCUAGGGCUCGCCGGGGUGGCUGCCGGAGACGGAGGACGGGGCGGCCGGAGGAGGCGUCGCCGGGGAGGAGGAAGAAGGGGCGCGGCGCCAGCGACGGGGGGACGCGGCGGCGCGGGUGCGGGUGCNNNNNNNNNNNNNNNNNNNNNNNNNNNNNNNNNNNNNNNNNNNNNNNNNNNNNNNNNNNNNNNNNNNNNNNNNNNNNNNNNNNNNNNNNNNNNNNNNNNNNNNNNNNNNNNNNNNNNNNNNNNNNNNNNNNNNNNNNNNNNNNNNNNNNNNNNNNNNNNNNNNNNNNNNNNNNNNNNNNNNNNNNNNNNNNNNNNNNNNNNNNNNNNNNNNNNNNNNNNNNNNNNNNNNNNNNNNNNNNNNNNNNNNNNNNNNNNNNNNNNNNNNNNNNNNNNNNNNNNNNNNNNNNNNNNNNNNNNNNNNNNNNNNNNNNNNNNNNNNNNNNNNNNNNNNNNNNNNNNNNNNNNNNNNNNNNNNNNNNNNNNNNNNNNNNNNNNNNNNNNNNNNNNNNNNNNGCCGGCGACGAGGCAUCGCUGGCGGCGGAGGGCGGCGAGGAGGCGCGGGCGCGGCUCGGGCCACGGAAGAAGCGUCCGGCGGCGCGGAGGGGAAAUGAACCAGGGUUUGACCCGGAUUUCGGAGGGGGAGGUGUGUUUAUAGGUAGAGGGAGCUAGGAGACUCCAAAUGGAGCACGAUUUUCGCCCACACGAUCGUGAUCGAACGACCUAGAGCAUGGAUGUGACUUAGAUGGGUUUGUGGGCUGUUUGGAGGGGGGUUUUGUUGCAACACACAAAAGGACUUUGCGGUUACCCGGUUAACCGUUGGAGUACCAAACGACCUCCAAAUGGAACGAAACUUGACAGGUGGUCUACCGGUGGUAUACCAAGGCCACUUGGCAAGACUCGGUCCAUUCCAGGAACGUUCAACACCCGCUCACGAAAAGAAACAAGAGGGGUGCGCCGGAGGAUGUGGGAGUGCCGGAUUGCAAAACGGACAAUGGGGAAAAUGCUCGGAUGCAUGAAACGAACACGUAUGCAAAUGAGAUGCACAUGAUGACAUGAUAUGAGAUGCAUGACAUGAGCAAAAUGCAGAAUGAAAAACAAAACCCGACCACGAAGGGAAUAUCAUAGCACAUAGCCGAAAAUGGCAAGAGUUGGAGUUACAAAUAUGGAAAGUUACAUCCGGGGUGUUACAGCGUGGAAGUAAGGAAGGCAACAAGCUUGUCGAAGAUAGCAAUAACUUCAUAGUUCGAGUAAUCCCAAGAGCGGCUGGGAACUCGACAAAUUGCUAUCUUCCGUAGACGACAGUCAGCAUGAUCAUAUUUGAAUUCACGUAGAAUACCGGCAGUCGUCUGAGAUUUUUGGAAGUGGAACCCGGUGACGAGUGUAUACAUUCACAAGUUCCCACUCGCAGUUGUACCCAAUGUAAACAACCCAAUCUCCAUUUGCGCCUGCCCAAGCCUUGCGCUCAAGCGAUGGCAUCUUAACAUCAUACGUAUCAUUAUAGAGCGGCAUCAACUUGCACAAGGCGAGGCUUCCCUCGUCCCCGCGCCAGUCAGCAGGGUCAUGGCGAAGAAGAUAGGGGAGAUCAAACCGCUCCUGGACCCUUGGGUUCCUUGUAAUGAUGUUAUUAGUUGAGUCGAGAAUGGGCUUGAAAGAACCUGCCAUGCUAGCCGAGGUGAUGAUGUCGCACCGAUCAAUGAGUUCCUCCACCGCGUCAUCAUUCAGAUUGGGGCAAGAAUAACGGGGUCGUUUCCGGCUUGUUCCCUCCAUGGAGAAGAUGAUCAAACAAUGGCAGAAGGAAGGGUGAAGGCAAAUGGAGGAGGGAGGAAGAGCUAGCGUGCAACAGCAAUUCCAAAUCAAGAGAGAAAGGCGAAGAGUUGGUGGACGGUUGCCACGGUACACGAAGAGGCGCCUGGGGAGUGAACGACUGCCACAGAGGUCACACACUAACGACAAGGGCUGAGUGAACCGCAUGCAAUCCCAUCGCACAACACACACAUCUUGUUAAGUUGAACCGUUUCUGUUCUCUUGUGUCAACGCAAACAGUUCAUCCGAGUGAACCACAUGCCGUAUAUUGCACACACCUUGAUCUGGCUGACCGUUUCUUUUGUGUUGCCUAAUCACAAACAGUUCAUCCGAGUGAACCGUAUGCUGUAUAUCGCACACACCUUCAUCUGGCUGCCCGUUUCUUUUGUGUUGCCUAAUCACAAACAGUUCAUCCGAGUGAACCGUAUGCUGUGUAUCGCACACGCCUUCAUCGGGCUGCCCGUUUGUUUUGUUCCUCCUCACCACAAACAGUUUAUUGAACUGAACCAUAUGCCCUUCAUCGCACACACAACUAAGAUCUGAACCGUGUUUGAUGCAUCCUCCAUCGCAAACGCUUUCACCUUUUUUGACGGUUUUCAUACAACACCGUUUGCGAUUAUUGCAUCGCACACAGUUUCUCGAAGAUCGUAGUGUCGCGUUAGCAGCAUCCUGCAGUAGUGAUAGCAAAGAGCAGUUCAUAUUCCUGAAAUGCAGUAAGCAUCAAAAGCUUGCAGGCUUUCAGCAAAUAGCAGUUUCUAUUCCUAAAAGAUCACAAGCAUACUCUGCAUAAUAGUUGUCCAUGGCCAAAUGGUAAUGAACAAGAACAGGCAAGCAACUAAUGUAAAGCGGCAUUCAGAAAAAAUCAUGCUACAAGCAAAAGCUCCAUUUUUGCAAGUAACAAACUACACAGGCCAACCAGCGAACUCCGCAUGCAUGACCAACAACAAGCACAUAAACUCUAUCCUUGUACUGAAGUGUGCUUUAUAACCAGUAAAUCAACCAUGAAUAACAGCUAGCAACAUACCUUCAUUGGCUGAUUUGUUUGAGGAUCCAUUUAUUCUUCAUUCUUUCAGGCAGAGCCAUAAGAGCCUUGAACUUGCGGUCAUCUGCUAUGAGGAUAUCAUAAGCUGCCAGCAAGUCAUCAUCAUCAAGUCCAGCAAUUGCAUUGAGAGCAUCAAGUAUUUCUUUAGGAGAGGAGGGUUUAUCGCGAGGAACAACUUGAGCAAUAUCGGCUUUGUAGGCGCUUGUAAAAUUAUCCAGUUUUUCACCAAGUAUAGAUGCAAUUGAGUCAUCUGAUCGGUAUCUUUUCUUCUUCUAUUCCUCACCGGUUUGAGUAGAAGAUGUCACGGCAGACUCGAUGUUGACAUUGUUCACAUUCUCCGCAGCCAUUUCCGCAACACUUUCAGCGGCGGUUCUGGCUCCGAUUCCCGUGGCAUGAUCCUUCGAGAAGACAAGGCUGAUUGAGUCCCAAAACUUUGUGACAUUGUGCCUGUAGCAAGCGGCAUCUUUGUUUGCCUGCAAAACAUGAAGACAAAUAGUCUCAUAUCAUGGUGGAAAAUGUAACACACAUCCAUCCGAACACCAAAUACAAAUCCAAAGAGAAAACAUGGACAUCAUGAUAUAUCAGUACAAGUAUGAGUGACAAUAAAAGAUAGUAAUUAAGUAAGAAACGAGACCACAUGAAAGAUGAAACUGAAUCUUGUGGCCAUGCCAUGAAUACAUAGUUGCUCAAGAUGUAGUGCUUACCUUGACAUAGUUGCUCCACACGUCCUCACUAUCAACCAUAAGCUUGUUAUGGAUCCAAUCCCACCCAAAACCACUCGUUGACAACAUCUUGCUAGGGUACCUGUUCGCUGGAAUUCAGAAAUGAAAUCGAAUGGUCAAUUUCGUGACAGCCAAACAAGUUGGCAUCGAAUUUCGGAAAUGAAAUCCGCGAAAUCCGGCCAAAUGACAGGAGCCAAACGAGCUGUAAAAAAACUCAAAAUGAUAGCCUACUGUUUUUCAAGGAAAACGGUACGAGAGCAUCAGAGGUGUCAAACCUGGUUGAAUCAUAUUGUCAAGUUUCAGGGCAGAGAAUUAACAAUAGCAAAUCUUUUUUCUACUUCAGCAUAGGGUGUCCAGCUACUGUUAAAGAUGAGGUAAAAGGGAUUCUGAAUGUGCAUAAUGAGACUCUGAAUGAGAAAUAUUUAGGUAUGACAUCUGACAUUGGAGCAUCCAAAUACGGUGCUUUUAAGUAUCUGAAAGAUACUCUAUGGGGCAAAGUCCAAGGAUGGAUUGAGAAAAUGAUCUCGACAGCAGGGAAAGAAAUAUUGGUCAAGUCUAUCUUCCAAGUAGUCCCGGUGUACUCCAUAUCGUGCUUCAAAUUGCCAAGAAGUUUAUGCGCACACUUGAAUACACUCAUCCGGCAAAUGUUUUGGGGGUAGCGAAGAAGGCCAGCUUAAACCCAAUUGGGUAGCAUGGAAAGACAUGACUCAACCUAAAAGUUGCGGUGGUCUUGGAUUCAGAGACUUGGAGUUGUUUAACAUAGCUCUAUUGUCCGGACAAGCGUGGAGGAUCCUUGUCAGUCCCGAAGCUUUGAGCUCGCGACUACUUAAUGCCAUUUAUUUUCCCAACAGCUCCAUCGUCAAUGCCGAGUUGGGCUUCCAUCCAUCGCAAAUUUGGAUAGCAGUACUUGAGGGGAGAGGUGCACUCACACAUGGAAUAAUACAUAGGGUUGGAAAUGGAGCAACAACUAAGGUGUGGGAUCAUAACUGGAUUCCAUGGGACUCAUCCUUGCGUCCUUUUGUGAGCUUAGCACCUAAUCCUCACAUCCUUGUGAGCGAACUGGCCGACAACACAUCCUCUUGCUGGCGCAUGAACAUUCUUGAGAAAUUCUUCCUGUCGGCAGAUGUACAAGCGACCAAAAACAUCCCGUUAUGCACAAGCAAUGUUGAUGAUUUCUUGACGUGGAAUUUUGAGAGGAAUGAAGCCUUCUCUAUAUGGUCUUCAUAUAGAUUUUGGCUUUGAUCAAAAGGAACCGUCAGGCGCUGCUGGAGGGGCGACCUAGCUCUUUGAAUCCUUCAGAGGAAGAGAGGACUUCAAUUUGGCGCCUUGUGAGACACUCGCUUCCCACUAAGGACAUCUGCAAACACCACCACAUGAGUAACGUUGACAAUUGCCAGUUAUGCGGUGCGGUGGAUUCAUGGAAACACUCGCUCGUGGAGUGUACAUCAACAAGGUGUGUUUAGGCUCUGGUGGAUGAGGGACUCUCCAAAAAACUGACUGAGGCAAACAAUCCAAAUGCAAAGAGGUGGUUAUUUGAUCUCCGGGACUCAUUAUCUUGGCCGUGACUUUGUGGGCAAUAUGGAUUGCCCAAAGGAAAGCUAUUCAUGAAAGUAUAUUCCAGAAUCCCAUGGCUACUCAUUUGUACAUUGAGCGGUUCAUCAAUGAACUUGCGUCCAUCAAAGUAAUGCCGACAACCUUGACACACAGGCCUGCUAUCCGAAACACAAUUGGACAUCCCUCCUGGAAGCCUUUGGUCGAAGAGUUUUGCAAAAUUCAUGUGGAUGGGGUUCUGUCACAUGAUGGCAAUGUUGGAGCUUCAGCUGCUAUAUGCAGAAACCGAGAUGUUAGUUACUUGGGGUCCUCACCUCUUGUUCUCCGAGGUACCACCGACCCAACAACUUUGGAGAUGCUUGCUUGUCGUGAAGCAUUGGCCUUAUCUGAGGAUCUCUUUCUACCAAAGAUCGUUAUUGCAUGUGAUUGCAAGUCUGUGGUUGAUAACAUUAUGUCAAGGAGAGGAGGAAAUUAUGAGGCUAUUAUUAAAGAAUUUUGAACCAUAGCUAGUCCUUUCGUUAGUUGCCUUGUUACUUUUGAAGGUAGAACAUCAAAUAGUGAAGCUCAUAGUCUUGCCAAACACUCUACUAUGCAUGCUCAGGGUCGCCAAUGAUGACCCACAAGUAUAUGGGAUCAAUCGUAGUCCUUUCGAUAAGUAAGAGCGUCGAACCCCAACGAGGAGCGGAAGGAAAUGACAAGCGGUUUUCAGCAAGGUGUUUUCUGCAAGCACUCAAUUAUCGGUAACAAGUAGUUUGAUAGCAAGGCAAUGUGUAACAAGCAACAAGUAGCAAUUGUAACAAAGGUGCAGCAAGGUAGCACAAUCCUUUUUGUAGCAAAGGACAGGCUGGAACGGUCUCUUAUAAUAAGCAAAGCAUUCUUGAGGACACACGGGAAUUUCAUCUAGGCACUUUCAUCAUGUUUGUUUGAUUCACGUUCGCUGCUUUGAUAAUUUGAUAUGUGGGUGGACCGGUGCUUGGGUGCUAUUCUUACUUGAACAAGCCUCCCACUUAUGAUUACCCCCUCUCGCAAGCAUCUGCAACUACGAAAGAAGAAUUAAGAUAAAUCUAACCAUAGCAUGAAACAUACAGAUCCAAAUCAGCCCCUUACGAAACAGCACAUAAACUGGGGUUUAAGCUUAUGUCACUCUAGCAACCUAUCAUCUAAUUACUACCCCACAAUGACUUCCCUUAGGCCCAAAGAUGGUGAAGUGUCAUGUAGUCGACGUUCACAUAACACCACUAAGGGAAUCACAACAUACAUAUCAUCAAAAUAUCGAAUGAAUACCAAGUUCACAUGAUUACUUAUGACAAGACUUCUCCCAUGUCCUCAAGAACAAAAGUAACUACUCACAAAUCAUAUUCAUGAUCAAGAUCAGAGGGGUAUUGAAUAUCAUUAAGGAUCUGAACAUAUAAUCUUCCACUAAAUAAACCAACUAGCAUCAACUACAAGAUGUAAUCAACAAUACGAGUAACCCACAUGUACCAAUCUGAGGUUUUGAGACAAAGAUUGAAUACAAGAGAUGAACUAGGGUUUGAGAUGAGAUGGUGCUGGUGAAAGCACAAGUGCUCCCUGGGUGAUUUUGGUAAUUAAUGUCAACAUAUCUCUUGUUGGACUAAUAUUUUCAUCUAGUAUAUUUCAGAUGAGUUCAACAGUGGAGUGGCUUGGACAAGAGGAUGUGGAACCCCUUCAAGAUGCUAAGGACAAACAUUAGAAAAAGCUCAGGACUCUACAUUUUCAUUUUAGUGGUCCAAGAUCACAUCGAGUCCAUAGGAAAAGCCAAUACUAUUAAAAGGGGAUGAGGUGUUGCUUAAUGGAUUGCUUGCUCAAAGUGCUUAGUGAUAUGCUCCAAAGCCCUCAACCACUUUUCUAUUUCCACAUAUGUCCUAAACCUAAAGUCAAACUCGGCCCUACCGAUUUGAUCUAUCCGGCGCCACCGAGUUCACUUGACAUAGCCACUGCCAUAAACCCUAAUCAGUUCGGUCUCACCGAGAUGGGCUUGCAAACUCUCUAUUUCCCGUUGCAAUUAUUUCGGUCCCACCGAGAUAUGCAAUCUGUCCCACUGAGUUUGCUUGACCAACUCUCUGUUUGCUCAUUACCAAAAUCGGUCUCACCGAGUUUGCGUAAUCGGUCAAACCGAGUUGAGGUUUUACCCUAACCCUAGCACAUUGGUCCCACCGAGUUGAUCACGUCGGUCCCACCAAAAACUCUAACAUUCACAUUUUGAACCAUAUCGGUCUGACCGAGUUUCUCGAUUCGGUCCCACCGAGUUUGGUAAAUUGCGUGUAACGGCUAGAUUUUGUGUGGAGGCUAUAUAUACCCCUCCACCCUUCCUCCACUCGUGGGGAGAGCUAUCGGAACGUGCCUACACUUCCAGCAUUCAUUUUCUGAGAGAGAACCACCUACUCAUGUGUUCAGACCAAGACAUUCCAAUCCAACCACAAGAAUCUUGAUCUCUAGCCUUCCCCAAUUUGCUUUCCACUCAAAUCAUCUUUCCACCAUAUCCAAAUCUGUGAGAGAGAGUUGAGUGUUGGGGAGACUAUCAUUUGAAGCAGAAGAGCAAGGAGUUCAUCAUCAACACACCAUCUAUUUCCUUUUGGAGAGUGGUGUCUCCUAGAUUGGUUAGGUGUCACUUGGGAGCCUCCGUCAAGAUUGUGGAGUUGAACCAAGGAGUUUGUAAGGGAAAGGAGAUCGCCUACUUCGUGAAGAUCUACCCAAGUGAGGCAAGUCGUUUGUGGGCGAUGGCCAUGGUGGGAUAGACAAGGUUGCUUCUUCGUGGACCCGUCAUGGGUGGAGCCUUACGUGGACUUGCGCAACCGUUACCCUUCUUGGGUUGAACUCUCCACCAAUGUGGAUGUACGAUAGCACCACCUAUCGGAACCACGCCAAAAAUGUCCGUGUCUCCAAUUGCGUUUGCAUUCUCCAAUCCCAUCCCUUUACUUUCUUGCAACUUGCAUGCUUUACUUUACGCUGCUCAUAUACUCUUGCCAUGCUGGCUUGAAAUGUAUUGUUAAUGUUUAAACUUGUACUAGAACUCCACCUUAACUUAAAGAAAUUAAAAACUGCUACUUUUCUUUGUUGAGGGUCUAAUCCCCCCCGUCUAGACACCUCUUCUCUAUCCUUUCAAUUGGUAUCAGAGCUUUGGUCACCAUUGCUUUGGUCACCAUUGCUUUGGUUUAAUCACCAUUGGAGGAAGAUGGGUGAGUCUAUGUUGGGAAGUUUUAGAUAUAGAGUGCCUAUACUUGAUGGAGAGUUCUUUCAUGCUUGGAAAAAUGAGAUGCUUGAGAUUUUCAAUGAAUAUCACUUGAACAAGUAUAUUACUAGCCCUUGUGCACCCCUUGUUGAUCUGUGGCAUCCUACUCCCGAUGAGUCUCUUGACAUGAUCCGCAACCUUAGAACUGCCAAUCUUACUAGAGGUUUGCCUAGAAAUUUGAUUGUUCGCUUGCCUACUCUUGAUUGUGCUUACACCAUAUGAAGAUUUCUUGAGGAACGAUUUCCAAACUAUUCCUUGCAAAAUCUAGAUGUGAUUCUUCAUAAGUCAAUUGCCUUAAGUAAGAUGAAUUCCAAUGAUCCUAAGUUUGGUGAUUGUCUAUUUGAGCUUCGUGACCUUAUGCGUGCCAAAGGAGAUGUUGGAAUCAUUAGCAACAUCAUUUCCGAAGUCAUUAGAAUUCAUAAAGAUUAGCAUUGUCAAGAUCCUAUAUCUAAUGAAUCACUCUCUCUAGCAAAUGAUCAAUUGCAAGACGAUGCUGAACAUGGAUACUAUGAUGAGGAUGAUGAUGGUGACUUUGAUCUCGAUGAGUCUAUGAGACACUUUGGUCUUAUGGCUAAUCUUCACGGCUACAUGGCUGGAGGGAAGGAAUGGGUUCUUGAUAGUGGAUGUCCAAUCACAUGACCGGAGACAAGGAUAUGUUUCGUGAGCUUGCUGAAAACGACGGCCCUCGAAAGUUUGUCACUUUUGGUGAUAACUCAAAGGGUAACGUGGUUGGCCUUGGUAAGGUGGCCAUCUCACAUGAUAGCUCCAUACAAAAUGUUAUGCUCGUUGAAUCUCUUGGCUAUAAUUUACUUUCUGUUUCUAGACUAGCGGACUUUGGAUUCAAUGUCCUAUUUACUGAAGUAGAUUGCCAAGUGUUUCAAAGAGAUAAUCAUAAAAUGGUCUUUACUGGUAUACGUAGAGGUGAUCUAUACAUUGUUGAUUUCACUAAAAAGGCUCAACCUAGAACUUGCUUAAUUGCUGAAUCUCUGAAGGUUGGUUAUGGCAUAGAAGGUUAGGUCAUGUGGGCAUGCGAAAUCUUGAUAAGCUUAUUAAAGGUGAUCAUAUACUUGGAGUAAAAGAUGUUAUAUUUGACAAGGAUAGAUUGUGCAGUGCUUGUCAAGCAGGAAAACAGGUUGGAGGAAGCCACCCCGUGAAGAACAUCAUGACCAAGAGAAGACCGGUGGAGCUACUUGAUAUGGAUCUCUUUGGUCCAAACGCCUAUAAAAGUCUCGGUGGAAACUCAUUUGGUUUAGUCAUAGUCGAUGAUUUUUCAAGAUUUACAUGGGUGUUCUUUCUUGAUGAUAAAUCGCAGGUCCAAAAGAUCUUCAAGAACUUCGCUAGGAAGGCCCAAAAUCAAUUUGAAGUGAAGAUCAAGAAGGUUUGCAGCAACAAUGGAACGGAGUUCAAGAACGCAAAUGUGGACACCUUUCUUGACGAAGAAGGGAUUUCACAUGAGUUCUCGGCUACGUACACGCCUCAACAAAAUGGAGUUGUUGAGAGGAAGAACCGGACUCUUAUUGAGAUGGUUAGACCGAUGCUUGAUGAGUACAAGACGCCAAAACACUUUUGGGUGGAAGCGGUUGAGACAGCUUGUCAUGCAACAAAUCGUCUAUAUCUUCACAAGCUACAUGGCAAGACGGCAUACGAGCUUCUCACAGGUAACAAACCCCAAGUUGGAUAGUUUAGAGUAUUUGGCUCAAAGUGCUAUAUUCUUGACAAGCAUCAUUGUUCUAAAUUUGCUCCUAAAUCUCAUGAAGGUUUCCUACUUGGUUAUGGCUCAAACUCUCACACUUACCGUGUCUACAACAAUUUCACCCGAAAGGUUGAAGAGACAGUAGAUGUGAAGUUUGAUGAAUCCAACGGCUCGCAAGUAGAGCAAUUGCCAAUUGAUGUAGGAGACAAAGACCCUUCGGAAGCAAUCCAAGACUUGCCAAUUGGCAAGAUUCGUCCAACGGAGGUGAAGGAGAGUACCUCGUCCGUCGACGUGGAAGCUUCUACCGCACGACAAGGUGAACCGAGAGUUGACUCAGAGGCAUCCACAAGUGAGACAUGCCAAGAUGAAGAAAACGAGGAAGUACACCAAGAUGAACCUCAUCAACGUCCUUCUGCACCUCCACAAGAGAACAACAACACCAACAACGAAGAAGGCCAAGAGGAAGAACAAGAUGAUGAAGAAUAUGUUCCACCCCAAACCAAACAAAAGCUCUCACGAGUUAGAGCAAGAGUCUCAAGAGACCAUCCCGUCGAACAAAUCUUCAAUAAUAUCCAAACCGGGAGAAUUACUCACUCUAAAACUCGUUUGGCUAAUUUUCGUGAACAUUAUUCAUUCAUCUCUAGCAUUGAACCUAUGAAGGUUGAAGAAGCAUUGGAAGAUCCGGAUUAGAUAAAUGCCAUGCACGAAGAGCUACACAACUUUGAGAGGAACAAAGUGUGGACAUUGGUUGAGAAGCCCGACAACAACCACAACAUCAUUGGAACCAAAUGGGUGUUUCAGAAUAAGCAAGAUGAAGAUGGACAAGUUGUAUGCAACAAGGCCCGUCUCGUCGCUCAAGGCUACACACAAGUCGAAGGUAUGGACUAUGGUGAGACAUAUCACUAAAAAAAAAAGACACAUCCGUGACAUUUUGGGCCGAACGAAUUUUUUUCGUCAUGCUUAUGACACUUCUAUGAAGAUAACUGUGACAAAACCCGGUAUCAUCAUAGAUGUGGUGGGCUCCUACUUCUAUGACAAAAAAUCAUGAUAGAAAAUGGGCUUUUCG